GGAUUAACGCUAGCGGCAGGCCUAAUACAUGCAAGUCGAACGGUAAAUAAGUAGCAAUACUUAUGAGAGUGGCGCACGGGUGAGUAACGCGUAUGCAACCUACCUUUAACUGGGGAAUAUCUCCGAGAAAUCGGAGUUAAUACCGCAUAAUAUUAUCGAAAAGCAUUUUUUUGUAAUUAAAACUUUGGUGGUUAAAGAUGGGCAUGCGUGACAUUAGCUAGAUGGUAGGGUAACGGCUUACCAUGGCUACGAUGUCUAGGGGGUCUGAGAGGAUGGUCCCCCACACUGGUACUGAGACACGGACCAGACUCCUACGGGAGGCAGCAGUGAGGAAUAUUGGGCAAUGGACGAAAGUCUGACCCAGCCAUGCCGCGUGUAGGAUGACUGCCCUAUGGGUUGUAAACUACUUUUAUAUGGGAAGAACUCUCCUAACGUGUUGGGAGCUGACGGUACCGUAAGAAUAAGCAUCGGCUAACUCCGUGCCAGCAGCCGCGGUAAUACGGAGGAUGCAGGCGUUAUCCGGAUUUAUUGGGUUUAAAGGGUGCGUAGGCGGGCUAAUUAGUCAGUGGUGAAAGCCUACAGCUUAACUGUAGAAUUGCCAUUGAUACUGUUAUUCUUGAGUAUAGUUGAGGUGGGCGGAAUGUGUCAUGUAGCGGUGAAAUGCAUAGAUAUGACACAGAACACCGAUUGCGAAGGCAGCUCGCUAAACUAUAACUGACGCUGAGGCACGAAAGCGUGGGUAGCGAACAGGAUUAGAUACCCUGGUAGUCCACGCCCUAAACGAUGAUUACUCGACAUGUGCGAUACACUGUACGUGUCCAAGCGAAAGCAUUAAGUAAUCCACCUGGGGAGUACGAUCGCAAGAUUGAAACUCAAAGGAAUUGACGGGGGUCCGCACAAGCGGUGGAGCAUGUGGUUUAAUUUGAUGAUACGCGAGGAACUUACCUGGGCUUAAAUGUAGAUUGCAUAAUUUAGAAAUAGGUUUUCCCUUCGGGGCUAUUUACAAGGUGCUGCAUGGUUGUCGUCAGCUCGUGCCGUGAGGUGUCGGGUUAAGUCCCAUAACGAGCGCAACCCCUAUCGUUAGUUGCCAGCGGGUCAAGCCGGGGACUCUAGCGAGACUGCCACCGUAAGGUGAGAGGAAGGUGGGGAUGACGUCAAAUCAGCACGGCCCUUAUGUCCAGGGCUACACACGUGUUACAAUGGCAGGUACAAAGGGCAGCUACAUGGCAACAUGAUGCUAAUCUCUAAAGCCUGUCCCAGUUCGGAUUGGAGUCUGCAACCCGACUCCAUGAAGUUGGAUUCGCUAGUAAUCGGAUAUCAGCAAUGAUCCGGUGAAUACGUUCCCGGGC
rnacentral:rRNA from 1 species